AGCUCCUCAUCUGUAUGCCACUGUCCAUAUUGCUUCUAGCUCUGAGAUGAGCUUGCAUGUUCUUUUUCUCCAUUUCUUUGCUUCUGCAGUUUGUGCCUGAGAGCACUGAGAACAAGAGAUUGAAAUUAGUAGUGUUUGUUGUUCUAUGUGAGCGAUUUCUUUACUGCUUUGUGUGGCUCUCCUGUUUGUUCACUUGAUUUAUGGAAAUCCAUGGGUGCUGGUUUUGGAUUUAUUCCAAGCUUGUUGCAUCCAAAUAACAGGAGGUUGCCUAAGUUCCAAUUGGAUAUUCGUUCAGUUACAAUGAUGAUAACACAGUUCAAAUUAUAUACAGUCAAAAUUAACAAACACAAGGUGUCUAACGUUUCUACUUUGUUUCUAAUAACACCCCUUCCCUGAUGUUAUAAUCACCUUUUUGCUUGCCCUAUUCUGUUAAGUGGUUUUUGUUAUCCUAAAACUGGUUUUAACCAUCUCUCUGGGUUGCAUUCCUUUGACCAAUAUUUGACCAAUAUUGUUGAGUUGUAUGUAGCACUGGGGCAUUUCAGCAUCUUCCUGUGCCUGUGUUUUCAGGGGCUCUGCUAUCAUCCCAUGCUCCUUCUCUCAUCAGAUUUGAUCUUUUAUGCUUAUGCCAUUAGUAACAAAAAUCAAUACAACAGUGUUAUACCACGUGAUUUUACAAAGCUGAGCAAAAAUUAAAGCAAAGCAGGUAAUUGUCACCUAGUCAUAAUAGCAUUUACAGUUAAACAAGUAGAAAAAAAAAUCUCAAGACCAGCCAAGACAAGUCCAGGCAAAGUCUGACAUUUCCUCAGAGCUGUUUUGUGAGCCAAAUACAAAUCCUGUGGCCUCUUAUAAACAAUACUUAAUAAGUUAAAGAAUGUUUUGGGCAUACUGUAUAGGUGGGCAUUCCUCUGAGCUGAAACAAUUGCCACUGGUGAUAGGAGAAGAUUUAGUGUUGGUCCGUGAUGGCUUAAGCUAACCUAAAUCUGAGGGGCUGUUUUACAGCCUCCUGCUUUGUGCCCUGCACAAGGACUUAGGUAGCCACUUGCCUAUAUGUUUCACAGAGCUGAUCUGCUGAAAAAUAACUAGGACUUUUUUUUUUUUAAGUUAUUUUGAAGGAUGAGGCCUGUCUGGACAAGGUCACCACACAACUGUACACAUUUCAGGGCUAAUACAAAGAAAGGGAUGAAAACAUUGGGGGAAAUGGUGCAAAUGCAGUUGACAGGAUUCAGGUUUGCUUUUGGAGAAUGGCUGUGUGAAUAAACAAGUAAACUUAGCUUGUGUCUGUUGUGUGGUAACAAUAUGCACAUCUACAGUUACUGUGCAGCAGCUGGCAUACUGUAAGUGAAGAUUAAAAAUUAAAAAAAAGAAAGGAAAAAAGAAAUGUUAUCUCUCCCACAGGGCGUAUACAGCAGCAAGUCCCCUUCUGUGGCAGUUGCACACAGAUGCCAGAAGAGCUAUGGCUCUGUCCCACUCCACCCUUCCUUUUCCAGCUAGCAGCCUAGUUAUGUCCUCUACUACAGUGGACAUGCAUGUGACUUGAGUCAACUUAGGAGCAUUAUACUGUCCUCUUAUUUGUCCUCUUAUUUUGGACUAGAACGACUGUGUAGGUAUUUAGUCAUAGUGUGUGAUAAGACUUGCACAGAGGCUUUAAUUAAACAUGCCAUGAAGUGACUGACUUAACAUUUCAGUUAAUUUUCCUUAGUUUUUCUGUGUUUGCAGUUUAGAAAAGUAGAUUCAAUUUAGCCUGUAGUACUGAUGUUCAAGCACAUUCAAUGCUCAGGCUAUAAUAGUAUAUAAAAAAAGAUAAAGGUCAAGAACCAUUGGGAUAUAUGGAACUUCUUCAACACUUCAUUUGUCUUUUAUUUAAUCAUGUGCUGUAGUACAUUCUUUUCUUUCAUUAGUUACCUAACUCGUCAGUUUUUUCUCAAACUGAGAACAAAGAAGCUGUUCUGGUUUGGGAUUUUUUUUUUUAGCUGUAUAUGAUAAAUUAUUUGUGUGCCCCUCUCAAGAGACUAUAUAUUAUAGGUCAUGGGUACUUUACUUGACUUCACGUUUCUUACAUUGCUAUGUAUCAGCAAAAGAAAUGUAAACUAGGAAUGGGAAGACUGUUUUGCUUUUUUUGACAAAUCUGAUAGCCAGGCUCUUGUCAGUAGCUUGUCAUUAAAAAAAACCAAAACGAUUCAAUAAGCAUGGAUAAUAAUGUUUGCUCUAUUUUUGGCUUAUGUCCUCACAAGAAAUACUUCUGGUUUAAUCACGUAAAAAUAGUCUUACUCUCAAUAAAUCCAGACUCCAACAACCUGCUGGAUAGUGAGGGAAUUGAUUAGGAAAAAAACCUCAAACUUUAAAAUAUAUCUUAUUCUCAUUUCAGAUUGGCAAUGAUUUUUAAAACUACAGCAAACAAAGUUGGGUCAUGUGAAAAUAGCACUGACAUUUGCCCAUAGUUUCCGUCUGAUUAAGUGGAAGUGACAUCAGUAGAUUAGAAUGAGACUAAGACAAUUCACAU